rnacentral:rRNA from 1 species
GUGAGUAGUCAGAGUUUGAUCCUGGCUCAGGAUGAACGCUAGCGGCAGGCUUAACACAUGCAAGUCGAGGGGCAGCGGGAAAUGUGCUUGCACAUUUUGCCGGCGACCGGCGCACGGGUGCGUAACGCGUAUGCAACCUACCCAUAACAGGGGGAUAACACUGAGAAAUUGGUACUAAUACCCCGUAACAUUAUUUGAGGCAUCUCAGAUAGUUGAAAGUUCCGGCGGUUAUGGAUGGGCAUGCGUUGUAUUAGCUAGUUGGUGGGGUAACGGCUCACCAAGGCGACGAUACAUAGGGGGACUGAGAGGUUAACCCCCCACAUUGGUACUGAGACACGGACCAA